UCUAAUUCAUUGAUAAGGAAGAGUAACUAAAUGGAAUAUUUAAAGAGAGUUAAGGAUGGUGGAAUCUUAACAAUAGGAAUUUUAGCGAAUGGACCUUGGAGAAAUAAAGCGAAAUCUUUUAUAGAAAGUAGUAUUUAUCGGAAGCCUACCGUUAAAAAGGAUAGGGUAUGUUAGUACCUGAAUAAAGAUAUGUUUAAAUUAUAAUUUAAACAUAAGUUAGGUGGCACCGCGAAUAUAAUCUUCGUCCUAAUA
rnacentral:ncRNA from 1 species